GACGAACGCUGGCGGCGUGCUUAACACAUGCAAGUCGAACGCGCCUGUUCCCUGGGUUUUCCGGGGGGUGGGUGAGUGGCGAACGGGUGAGUAACACGUGAGUAACCUGCCCCCUUCUUCGGGAUAACGGUCUGAAAGGGCUGCUAAUACCGGGUAUUCACUGGUCUCCGCAUGGGGUCUGGUGGAAAGGUUUUUUCUGGUGGGGGAUGGGCUCGCGGCCUAUCAGCUUGUUGGUGGGGUGAUGGCCCACCAAGGCUUUGACGGGUAGCCGGCCUGAGAGGGUGACCGGUCACAUUGGGACUGAGAUACGGCCCAGACUCCUACGGGAGGCAGCAGUGGGGAAUAUUGCACAAUGGGCGCAAGCCUGAUGCAGCGACGCCGCGUGAGGGAUGGAGGCCUUCGGGUUGUGAACCUCUUUCGCCCGUGGUCAAGCCGCGACGUGGGUCGUGG
rnacentral:rRNA from 1 species